rnacentral:tRNA from 1 species
UUCUGGCUUCGCCGGGAGAAACGACCGGCCGCUGUGAUCGGCCGGUUGUGUGUUACAUUCACACGACUGAAC